rnacentral:sRNA from 1 species
UGUUUAUUUUACAGCCACAAAAGUUCACACAGUUAACCCCACAGGUGCCCCCGCUGUAGAAUCCUGGAAGUACAUUUGGUAUUUAGCUCUAUCCAUUCUUAUAGUCAUCACUGCAGUGCUAUGUUUCUUAAG